GACGAACGCUGGCGGCGUGCUUAACACAUGCAAGUCGAACGGAAAGGCCCUGCUUUUGUGGGGUGCUCGAGUGGCGAACGGGUGAGUAACACGUGAGUAACCUGCCCUUGACUUUGGGAUAACUUCAGGAAACUGGGGCUAAUACCGGAUAGGAGCUCCUGCUGCAUGGUGGGGGUUGGAAAGUUUCGGCGGUUGGGGAUGGACUCGCGGCUUAUCCGCUUGUUGGUGGGGUAGUGGCUUACCAAGGCUUUGACGGGUAGCCGGCCUGAGAGGGUGACCGGCCACAUUGGGACUGAGAUACGGCCCAGACUCCUACGGGAGGCAGGAGGGGGGAAUAUUGCACAAUGGGCGGAAGCCUGAUGCAGCAACGCCGGGUGCGGGAGGACGGCCUUCGGGCGGUAAACAGCUUUCGCCUGUGACGAAGCGUGAGUGACGGUAAUGGGGAAAGAAGCACCGGCUAACUACGU
rnacentral:rRNA from 1 species